ACAUCACUUUGUAUUUGCCAUAGCCUUGGGCAGCAAUCAAGAAACUUUUUACCAGUCUUCUUCCCCAGGAGGAGUUUUGCCACAUGGUCUCAUCAUUAAAGCACUGAGGCUCCAGCCUACAAGUGGAGAAGAACUGCACUGGCCAGGGGAGCAAGAGCUACUGACCUAUCUCCUAAGAGAUGUCAACCAGUUCUGGAAAAGUAAGGGCAGUGGGGAACACCUGGAUUCCAGUUGCUACACCCACCUGCACCAAGGUUCUCCAUGUCAGACCUCUCCUGACUCCUGGCAUCUGCCCGUCCUUGAGUUCUUGGCCCUUCUCUUGGCAUGUGUCAAUCUUCGUAGACC